rfam:Takifugu rubripes chromosome, Chr_10
GGUUCCAUGGUGUAGAGGUCAUCAUGUCUGCUUUACACGCAGAAGGUCCUGGGUUCAAUUCCCAGUGGAACCA